AUUGAACGCUGGCGGCAGGCCUAACACAUGCAAGUCGAGCGGAUGACGGGAGCUUGCUCCUGGAUUCAGCGGCGGACGGGUGAGUAAUGCCGAGGAAUCUGCCUGGUAGUGGGGGACAACGUUUCGAAAGGAACGCUAAUACCGCAUACGUCCUACGGGCGAAAGCAGGGGACCUUCGGGCCUUGCGCUAUCAGAUGAGCCUAGGUCGGAUUAGCUAGUUGGUGAGGUAAUGGCUCACCAAGGCGACGAUCCGUAACUGGUCUGAGAGGAUGAUCAGUCACACUGGAACUGAGACACGGUCCAGACUCCUACGGGAGGCAGCAGUGGGGAAUAUUGGACAAUGGGCGAAAGCCUGAUCCAGCCAUGCCGCGUGUGUGAAGAAGGUCUUCGGAUUGUAAAGCACUUUAAGUUGGGAGGAAGGGCAGUAAGCGAAUACCUUGCUGUUUUGACGUUACCGACAGAAUAAGCACCGGCUAACUCUGUGCCAGCCGCCGCGGUAACAC
rnacentral:rRNA from 1 species